UACGUAGGCAGCAAGCGUUGUUCGGAAUUACUGGGCGUAAAGAGCGUGUAGGCGGCCAGGUAGGUCCGUUGUGAAAACUAGAGGCUUAACCUCUAGACGUCGAUGGAAACCAUCUGGCUAGAGUCCGGAAGAGGAGAGUGGAAUUCCUGGUGUAGCGGUGAAAUGCGCAGAUAUCAGGAAGAACACCUAUGGCGAAGGCAGCUCUCUGGGACGGUACUGACGCUGAGACGCGAAAGCGUGGGGAGCGAACAGG
rnacentral:rRNA from 1 species